rnacentral:rRNA from 1 species
AACCGAGGUUAAUACCGGAUACUCCAUAUUUGUCGCAUGCGAAUAUGGGAAAGCUCCGGCGGCAAAGGAUGGGCCCGCGGCCUGUUAGCUAGUUGGUGGGGUAGUGGCCUACCAAGGCAAUGAUGGGUAGCCGGGUUGAGAGAUCGACCGGCCAGAUUGGGACUGAGACACGGCCCAGACUCCUACGGGAGGCAGCAGCA